CCUACGGGUGGCAGCAGUGAGGAAUAUUGGUCAAUGGCCGUAAGGCUGAACCAGCCAAGUAGCGUGAGGGAAGACUGUCCUAUGGGUUGUAAACCUCUUUUAUGCGGGGAUAAAGGUGUCCACGUGUGGAUGUUUGAAGGUACCGCACGAAUAAGGAUCGGCUAACUCCGUGCCAGCAGCCGCGGUAAUACGGCGGAUCCGAGCGUUAUCCGGAUUUAUUGGGUUUAAAGGGUGCGUAGGCGGUUUGAUAAGUUAGCGGUGAAAUGUCGGGGCUCAACCCCGAAACUGCCUCUAAUACUGUUGGACUAGAGAAGAGUUGCGGUAGGCGGAAUGUAUGGCGUAGCGGUGAAAUGCUUAGAGAUCAUACAGAACACCGAUUGCGAAGGCAGCUUACCAAACUAUAUCUGACGUUGAGGCACGAAAGCGUGGGUAGCGAACAGGAUUAGAUACCCUUGUAGUC
rnacentral:rRNA from 1 species